AUGCAAUGGAUGCUCAUGAAGCUGCCCAGAUGCAUCAGAACUUCUCCCAGCAACUUCUCCAGGAUCACAUUGAAGCUUGUAGCCUUCCAGAACACAACCUUAUCACGUGGACAGACGGGCCACCCCCUGUACAGUUUCAGGCGCAGAAUGGACCCACCACCAGCCUUGCUAGUCUCCUGUGAAGGAAAACUCUGCUAAAGUGACACAUGCAACUUGGCCCCCUGGGAAGAGGAAAAUCUAUCAUGGGGACUUUUUCCAGGAAGGGAAAAUGAGGAAUUUCCUGUACAGCCAAAAGCCUUAAUCAAGAUUAAACACACCCUACAUUUCAAAGACUCAAAAAGGACAUUUUAAGCUGCUUUUAAAGAUGAGAGGUGUGUGUCCCAUACACACAACUUCUGGAUUUUUAACUGUAUUUGAUACUUCUGGUUUUCCUCAGUACAGUGUGGUGCAGGAUCCAGAACCCUGUUAGGGGAUAGUGGAGGAGAAUCUGUCUUUCCUCAUUUACCAGACAUCCACUAUGUGAAAUUCUCCAACCCAAUCUUGGUGUUGAUUUUUCCAAACCAUCACUUAGAAAUGGAUUCUGACCAGACUGCCAAUCACUGCUCUAAAUAUUUAAGUCCUACCUGAAAUGAAGUGCUUCUGGUUGGAGUGGGGCGGGGAGUAGGAAGAGUCUCCUACAAGGCUCCAAGUAGCAUGUAGUGUGGGAUUUAAUCAUGACUGUGUGCCUGGGGAUGGGUGUGGAGAGCUGGCAAACCUCAAAAUCCUUCUCUUAAGGAAGUCCCAUGUCUCGAUGCUAUUCUGUAGUAAAUCACCGAGUGUACCCAGAUUAAAUCAGUUCUUCUCUAGUGAAGGUGAAAAGUAAGGUUGGUUACUUUUUAACCUUUCAUCGCCUGAGUGAGUAGCUAUGUGUUAUGAGGCUGGGGCAGUGUCCUCCUCCCCCAUAACUCCUUAAUGCAUCACUUGGACAACUUUAAAGAAUAAAGCUUGAACGUCUCAGUGUAGCUUAACCCCA
rnacentral:lncRNA from 1 species